GAUGAACGCUGGCGGUAUGCCUAACACAUGCAAGUCGUACGAGAGUUUUUAACUCUAGUGGCGGACGGGUGAGUAACACGUGAGAAUUUGCCUUUAGGAGGGGGAUAACAAUUGGAAACGAAUGCUAAUACCCCAUAUGCUUUUGAGUGAAACGGAUUUAUCCGCCUAGAGAGAAGCUCGCGGCUGAUUAGCUUGUUGGUAAGGUAAGAGCUUACCAAGGCGACGAUCAGUAUCUGGUUUGAGAGGAUGAUCAGCCACACUGGGACUGAGACACGGCCCAGACUCCUACGGGAGGCAGCAGUGGGGAAUCUUAGACAAUGGGCGCAAGCCUGAUCUAGCCAUGCCGCGUGAUCGAUGAAGGCCUUAGGGUUGUAAAGAUCUUUCAGUGGGGAAGAUAAUGACUGUACCCACAGAAGAAGCCCCGGCUAACUCCGUG
rnacentral:rRNA from 1 species